CACUAAUCGCCCUUCGCGAACUCACUGGCGAAGCAAAACCGCUAAUCCCGUUGAACACACAUGACAACAGCACAACGGCUCACAUCCCAGAUCACGAUCGGACAGCGGCGAGAGGGAGGAACGGGUGCAGACGACACCUAGUCGCGUGCGGGCGAGGCAGAGGGUGAGGAGGUUCUCGUCGAGGGAGGCCUGCGAGUGCAGGAGCGACGACACGCUGCCGCUCUCCACAACACCCCGCGAGAUCCGCGAGAUCCUUAUCGUAGGCGCGGGGGCCGAGGAGGAGGCGAAGGAGAGGGGACGAGAUCGUCUGCAGUCACACGAUUCGACUUGCCUCUGUUAACUUGGAAUUUGGAACAUCAUCUUCAACUUGUUGCAUCAAGAAAAAAAUCCGCAGAUAUGAUCUUAGAGCAUAAUCAUAUUCUUCACUUUCCACAAACCUCACACUUGAUGGUGUCUCAAAGGAAAAUUUCAGAGCUACAAGGUUUUGAAAUUGAGACAGCUGACGAUGCAGGAAUUAGGCCUAAAGCUGCACAUGGAUUGGCUAGUCUGCAGGUUGGUGGGUCAAGUAACCUAAGUUACACACUCUGUGACCCUCCAAAAAAUGAAGUUGUUGAAUCGAAGAAACAAGAAACUGUAAAAGUGACAAUGGAUGAAGCUACUGCAUUAGUACAUGAGGUGUCGUUGGAUGAAGAGUGGAGUUACUAAUGAUCUUCAUGCUGAAUUCUAAUAACAAAGCUUGGUGGGGAGAAUAGCUUUUGGUUUUAUAAUUCAAGUGUAUGUAUGUUUAGUUCUCUGUUGC
rnacentral:misc_RNA from 1 species